UACGGAGGAUGCGAGCGUUAUCCGGAUUUAUUGGGUUUAAAGGGUGCGUAGGCGGGAUGCCAAGUCAGCGGUAAAAAUGCUGUGCUCAACGCCGUCGAGCCGUUGAAACUGGCGUUCUUGAGUGGGCGAGAAGUAUGCGGAAUGCGUGGUGUAGCGGUGAAAUGCAUAGAUAUCACGCAGAACUCCGAUUGCGAAGGCAGCAUACCGGCGCCCUACUGACGCUGAGGCACGAAAGCGUGGGUAUCGAACAGG
rnacentral:rRNA from 1 species